CCUACGGGGGGCUGCAGUGAGGAAUAUUGCGCAAUGGGGGAAACCCUGACGCAGCGACGCCGCGUGAGUGAUGAAGGCCUUCGGGUUGUAAAGCUCUGUCAGAGGGGAAGAAAGGAGAAGUAGCUAAUAUCUGCUUCUAUUGACGGUACCCUUGGAGGAAGCACCGGCUAACUCCGUGCCAGCAGCCGCGGUAAUACGGAGGGUGCAAGUGUUAUUCGGAUAUACUGGGCGUAAAGAGUACGUCGGCGGAGAAAGCCCGGAGCUUAACUACGGAACUGCAUUUGAUACUACCUGUCUUGAGUAUGGUAGAGGGGGGUGGAAUUCCCGGUGUAGAGGGGAAAUUCGUAGAUAUCGGGAGGAACACCAGAGGCGAAGGCGACCCCCUGGGCCAUAACUGACGCUGAGGUGCGAAAGCGUGGGGAGCAAACAGGAUUAGAUACCCGAGUAGUC
rnacentral:rRNA from 1 species